rnacentral:rRNA from 1 species
CACGCUGUAAACGAUGGAUACUAGGUGUGGGGGAGAUACUACCUCUGUGCCGCAGCAAACGCAAUAAGUAUCCCGCCUGGGGAGUACGGCCGCAAGGCUGAAACUCAAAGGAAUUGACGGGGACCCGCACAAGCAGCGGAGCAUGUGGUUUAAUUCGAAGCAACGCGAAGAACCUUACCAAGGCUUGACAUCCCUUGACGUGCAUAGAAAUAUGCAUUCCCUUCGGGGCAAGGAGACAGGUGG